CCUACGGGAGGCUGCAGUAGGGAAUAUUGGGCAAUGGGCGCAAGCCUGACCCAGCCAUGCCGCGUGGAGGAAGACGGCCCUCUGGGUUGUAAACUCCUUUUGCCGGGGAAGAAUGAUACCCUUGCGGGGGUAUGUGACGGUACUCGGUGAAUAAGCACCGGCUAACUCCGUGCCAGCAGCCGCGGUAAUACGGAGGGUGCAAGCGUUGUCCGGAUUUAUUGGGUUUAAAGGGUGCGUAGGUGGGUUUGUAAGUCUGGUUUGAAAGUUGGUCGCUU
rnacentral:rRNA from 1 species